rnacentral:rRNA from 1 species
AUGAAGAACGUAGCGAAAUGCGAUACUUGGUGUGAAUUGCAGAAUCCCGCGAAUCAUCGAGUCUUUGAACGCAAGUUGCGCCCGGAGCCGUCAGGCCGAGGGCACGCC